rnacentral:lncRNA from 1 species
UGAACCUCUUAAAAAAUUCAGAACAAGUUUUCUCAGAGUUUACAAAGGGAUUUCAAUCACAUGAAGAGAGGAAAACACACUGAGUCGUAACAGUGACAUCAAAAUACUUUUGAAGUUGACUGAAAAUGUGGUUGCUUUUGUUUGAGAAUGGCAAAUUAAAGAAUUGGAUAUUGGGUUCUUAUCUCAGAAGAAACAAAGGAGGAGACCCUGAAAAACUGAACAUGAAGAGGAAGAAGUGGAGUUAUGCAACUCUUCAUAAGGCUGGUUCCACCACCGGUCAGAAGAAUGAAAAUUGCAGAUACCUAUUCUGUGUGUUUCUCUCCAGAAUGGUGGAUGUUAGAGACCCUACUAAGGAUUUGUGGACUCACUAACGUAGUCUCUAAAAGGUGCUACAUCUGUACAAAUGAAUCCAAUGUUUCCAUGUGAGUCCAAAGUUCUCAAAUUCUUCACUGGCAGCAUUAUACAUUUUGGUGUAAAGUCUAUUUUCAUGGUUUAAAAAGUCAGACUAUUUUCCUGGGACAUUUGAUGAUAGAGAAUAAUUCAAUUUGCCAAAUAAUAUUAUUUUAAUUGACUUGCUUCCCAAACUGACUCUUGUCUAGCAAUUACACUUAUAGGUAUAAUUGUAUUUUUGUAUAAGUCUGAUUGAACAACCUUUGAAAUAUUUAUGCACAUUUAAAAUAAGAGGCUAUGUUUCACCAAUGGUUAUCAAUAAAAAAU